CAGGCCUAACACAUGCAAGUCGAACGAGACCUUCGGGUCUAGUGGCGCACGGGUGCGUAACGCGUGGGAAUCUGCCCUUGGGUUCGGAAUAACUCGCCGAAAGGCGUGCUAAUACCGGAUAAUGACGUAAGUCCAAAGAUUUAUCGCCCAAGGAUGAGCCCGCGUAGGAUUAGCUAGUUGGUGAGGUAAGAGCUCACCAAGGCGACGAUCCUUAGCUGGUCUGAGAGGAUGAUCAGCCACACUGGGACUGAGACACGGCCCAGACUCCUACGGGAGGCAGCAGUGGGGAAUAUUGGACAAUGGGCGAAAGCCUGAUCCAGCAAUGCCGUGUGAGUGAUGAAGGCCUUAGGGUUGUAAAGCUCUUUUACNCCGGGAUGAUAAUGACAGUACGCGGGAGAAUAAGCUCCGGCUAACUCCGUGCCAGCAGCCGCGGUAAU
rnacentral:rRNA from 1 species